AGAACGAACGCUGGCGGCAGGCCUCAAACAUGCAAGUCUAGGGGGUGUAGCAAUACAUCACCGGCGGACGGGUGCGUAACACGUGGGAAUGUACCUAUUGGUUCGGAACAACGCAGGGAAACUUGCGCUAAUACCGAAUGUGCCCGAAAGGAGAAAGAUUUAUCGCCAAUAGAUCAGCCCGCGUAGGAUUAGCUAGUUGGUGAGGUAAUGGCUCACCAAGGCUCCGAUCCUUAGCUGUUCUGAGAGGAAGAUCAGCCACACUGGGACUGAGACACGGCCCAGACUCCUACGGGAGGCAGCAGUUGGGAAUCUUGGACAAUGGGCGAAAGCCUGAUCCAGCCAUGCCGCGUGAGUGAUGAAGGCCUUCGGGUUGUAAAACUCUUUCGACGGGGACGAGUAAUGACGGUACCCGUAGAAGAAGCUCCGGCUAACUUCGCGCCAGCAGCCGC
rnacentral:rRNA from 1 species